rnacentral:lncRNA from 1 species
GGGCCACAGACAGAGAGUGACCAGGCCCAGGGCUCCUUUGUGGUGGAAGCCAGUGGCUGGGAGCCCACCUGGAGAGUGUGGAGUGGGUGUGGGAGGGAGAGACAGGUGGGCGAGGUGUGGACACUCAACAUAGGAAAGUAUUUGGAGACAGUCACAGUUACACACUCAACAUCUGCUGGCACCUACCCAAGCCCAGAGCUCCCAGAGCCCCGCGGGCCCCCGAGGCACUCCCAGUCAAGCAUGGGAGACAGGCCAGCACACAGGUGAUCCGUGGUCGUGAUAAAUGGUCACAAGGGGCCGUGGGCACCCAGAAAAUGAGCUCCUACUCGGCCUUGGAGGGAGAAGAACCUUUCCCAGCUGUGGCCAGAGAGAGAUGUGACACCAGGGAAAGGAUCAGAGAGUGGCUGAAGACAGAGGGAGGGGCCAAGAGUCAAGGAACAUAAGUGACUUCGGGAAGAUGGAAAAUGCAGGAAACAGAAUCUCCCCUAAAGGCCCCAGAAAAACAGCAUAGUCCUGCCUACUCCUUGAUUUUAACCCAGUGAGACCCAUGUCAGACUUCUGCCUAUGGAACUGUAAGAUGAUAAUAAAUGUGUGUUGUUUUAAGCCACAAGGUUUGUGCUGAUUUGUUAUGACAGCGGUAGCAAAUGAAUCUCGUGCCUCAGUCAGUACAAGUUUGAUCAUAUAAAUUUAGAGAUGAUAUGUAUAUGCUUGUAGUGUGUAAUUUCCUAAUGACAGGGGCCACUGAAUAGAUAACCUGUGAGGUAGUGAGCUCCCCAUCCCUGGAGAUAUGUUACAGAGGCUGUCUGCUAGCUGUUGAUGAUGUUGUAGAAGGGAUUUCUUCUCAGUGGGCAGGUGCUUGGACCAAGGACUUCCUCCAGAGAGUCUUCAGAGAUUAGAGUGAGAAGCCACGUGGCCCAGGAUUGGAGGAGGUUUUGCUUCUCCCUGCCGGCUGGGAGGCCUGUCACCACCCAUAGGGUCUCCCUUUAGGCACGUUAUUAUAUAUGGUUCCAGGACUCCAUUACUUCAGAAUGCUUGUAUGUAAUGUAUUGAAGGAAUUAUUGAAAUGUGUAAUUACAGUGUGCAUUGUAUUCUAUUAUAUUCAUUUGAUGGAACUGUGCUCCAUAAUAUCUAUUCUCAUAUAAAAGACUCCACCAUUAGAGUGUUAUAUUGUGUGAUGAUAGUUGUCCUUCAGCAGACACUGUCUCCUGUCUUCACCCAGUUCCCUUUCUUCUUCCCAACACUCCUGCUACCAUGAAACUGGAAUACCCCAACUUCCCAGGUGAGAAGGCACUUUGGGGUGAUUGGGUCCACCCCACAUUAGACAGAUGGAGAAGGUGAAGCCCUGAGGCCAGAGCUGGUAACGCCAGCAUCUCCCAAGUCCCAGCCAGUGUCCAGCCUGUGGUUCCCAAACACCUGUGAAUUGGAACCGUUUGUUCAAAAAGAAAUCUUGUGUGGAACCCCAAUAUACAAAGCAGAUGGGUCAGCUCUAGGGCAAGCCAAGAUGGGCCCCCCAGGGUCCUGAGUGCUUGGGAGCACACUAAGCCUCACCCCCACUCUGAGGUCCCUCUACCAAA